rnacentral:rRNA from 1 species
AAUAGAUACCCCGGUAGUCCACGCCGUAAACGGUGGGCACUAGGUGUGGGCGACAUUCCACGUCGUCCGUGCCGCAGCUAACGCAUUAAGUGCCCCCGCCUGGGGAGUACGGCCGCAAGGCUAAAACUCAAAGGAAUUGACGGGGGGCCCGCACAAGCGGCGGAGCAUGUGGCUUAAUUCGACGCGACGCGAAGAACCUUACCAAGGCUUGACAUACACCGGAAACGUCCAGAGAUGGCGCCCCCUUGUGGUCGGUGUACAGGUGGUGCAUGGCUGUCGUCAGCUCGUGUCGUGAGAUGUUGGGUUAAGUCCCGCAACGAGCGCAACCCUUGUCCCGUGUUGCCAGCAGGCCCUUGUGGUGCUGGGGACUCACGGGAGACCGCCGGGGUCAACUCGGAGGAAGGUGGGGACGACGUCAAGUCAUCAUGCCCCUUAUGUCUUGGGCUGCACACGUGCUACAAUGGCCGGUACAAUGAGCUGCGAUACCGCGAGGUGGAGCGAAUCUCAAAAAGCCGGUCUCAGUUCGGAUUGGGGUCUGCAAC